rnacentral:rRNA from 1 species
GAUGGGAGCUUGCUCCCUGAUGUUAGCGGCGGACGGGUGAGUAACACGUGGGUAACCUGCCUGUAAGACUGGGAUAACUCCGGGAAACCGGGGCUAAUACCGGAUGGUUGUUUGAACCGCAUGGUUCAGACAUAAAAGGUGGCUUCGGCUACCACUUACAGAUGGACCCGCGGCGCAUUAGCUAGUUGGUGAGGUAACGGCUCACCAAGGCGACGAUGCGUAGCCGACCUGAGAGGGUGAUCGGCCACACUGGGACUGAGACACGGCCCAGACUCCUACGGGAGGCAGCAGUAGGGAAUCUUCCGCAAUGGACGAAAGUCUGACGGAGCAACGCCGCGUGAGUGAUGAAGGUUUUCGGAUCGUAAAGCUCUGUUGUUAGGGAAGAACAAGUGCCGUUCAAAUAGGGCGGCACCUUGACGGUACCUAACCAGAAAGCCACGGCUAACUACGUGCCAGCAGCCGCGGUAAUACGUAGGUGGCAAGCGUUGUCCGGAAUUAUUGGGCGUAAAGGGCUCGCAGGCGGUUUCUUAAGUCUGAUGUGAAAGCCCCCGG